AGCUCAAAUGAUCUGUAUGCAGUUGUGGCAGUCAAAACUGUCCCUAAAACCCGUAUACCAUCACCAAAGAGUCAGAGAAAAUCCUGCGCUAUUGUGGAUUGUGAAGAUUAUUAAACCAACAUGGAAGAUCUCAACAUUCAUGGAAACGUCUAAUGAAAAUGCUCCACAUCCCCUCCAAAAUGUGCUAAAUACAGUGUUUAAAACAGAAAAAGACAA